rnacentral:rRNA from 1 species
CCUACGGGAGGCAGCAGUGAGGAAUAUUGGUCAAUGGACGAGAGUCUGAACCAGCCAAGUAGCGUGAAGGAUGACUGCCCUAUGGGUUGUAAACUUCUUUUAUAUGGGAAUAAAAUGUUCCACGUGUGGGAUUUUGUAUGUACCAUAUGAAUAAGGAUCGGCUAACUCCGUGCCAGCAGCCGCGGUAAUACGGAGGAUCCGAGCGUUAUCCGGAUUUAUUGGGUUUAAGGGGAGCGUAGGUGGAUUGUUAAGUCAGUUGUGAAAGUUUGCGGCUCAACCGUAAAAUUGCAGUUGAAACUGGCAGUCUUGAGUACAGUAGAGGUGGGCGGAAUUCGUGGUAUAGCGGUGAAAUGCUUAGAUAUCACGAAGAACUCCGAUUGCGAAGGCAGUUCACUGGACUGCAACUGACACUGAGGCUCGAAAGUGUGGGUAUCAAACAGGAUUAGAUACCCCUGUAGUC